GCGACCGCAGAGUCGAGCCGGAGUAUGCGGCCAAGCGGCUCGAUGACGCGGGCGUGGUCGUCCGCCGCGGGGACGCAGGCGUCGCGGUGCCGGGCGCUUCGUCGCGCAUCCGAAUCGGGGGCCAAGUCGGCAAGACGAUGAAAUCCGGCGAAUGGGGACCCAUCUACGCGAUCGACCGCCCGGGAGAGACGUGGCACGGGUGCCCGAGCAUCGACCACGAUUCGGCGCUCAUCGCCUUCCGCGAGGACGGCCGCGUGUUCCUCGUCGCCACGCCGGCGUCCGCGUGGUCGUGGACGGAGUGCCUCGUGUUCGACACCGAGA
rnacentral:misc_RNA from 1 species